UCCCCCAAAGCAUUGAUGGUGGAUGCUCUGGACUUUUAAUCCUGAGAGCUAGGUUCGACUCCUAGUGGGGGAA
rnacentral:tRNA from 1 species